GCCAUGAUAGUAUAGUGGUCAUUAUCUCUCGUUGUGGCCGAGAAGACCCUGGUUCGAUUCCAGGUCAUGGCA
rnacentral:tRNA from 1 species